UAAUGAGAGUUUGAUCCUGGCUCAGGACGAACGCUGGCGGCGUGCCUAAUACAUGCAAGUAGAACGCUGAAGGAGGAGCUUGCUCUUCUGGAUGAGUUGCGAACGGGUGAGUAACGCGUAGGUAACCUGCCUGGUAGCGGGGGAUAACUAUUGGAAACGAUAGCUAAUACCGCAUAACAUUGACUAUUGCAUGAUAGUUAAUUGAAAGGUGCAAAUGCACCACUACCAGAUGGACCUGCGUUGUAUUAGCUAGUUGGUGGGGUAACGGCUCACCAAGGCGACGAUACAUAGCCGACCUGAGAGGGUGAUCGGCCACACUGGGACUGAGACACGGCCCAGACUCCUACGGGAGGCAGCAGUAGGGAAUCUUCCGCAAUGGGCGAAAGCCUGACGGAGCAACGCCGCGUGAGUGAUGAAGGUCUUCGGAUCGUAAAACUCUGUUAUUAGGGAAGAACAAAUGUGUAAGUAACUAUGCACGUCUUGACGGUACCUAAUCAGAAAGCCACGGCUAACUACGUGCCAGCAGCCGCGGUGAUACGUAGGGUGCGAGCGUUGUCCGGAAUUACUGGGCGUAAAGAGCUCGUAGGUGGUUUGUCGCGUCGUCUGUGAAAUCCCGGGGCUUAACUCCGGGCGUGCAGGCGAUACGGGCAUAACUUGAGUACUGUAGGGGUAACUGGAAUUCCUGGUGUAGCGGUGGAAUGCGCAGAUAUCAGGAGGAACACCGAUGGCGAAGGCAGGUCUCUGGGCUGUAACUGACGCUGAGGAGCGAAAGCAUGGGGAGCGAACAGGAUUAGAUACCCUGGUAGUCCACGCCGUAAACGAUGAGUGCUAGGUGUUGGGUCCUUUCCGGGACUCAGUGCCGCAGCUAACGCAUUAAGCACUCCGCCUGGGGAGUACGACCGCAAGGUUGAAACUCAAAGGAAUUGACGGGGGCCCGCACAAGCGGUGGAGCAUGUGGUUUAAUUCGAAACAACGCGAAGAACCUUACCAGGUCUUGACAUCCCUCUGACCGCUCUAGAGAUAGAGUUUUCCUUCGGGACAGAGGUGACAGGUGGUGCAUGGUUGU
rnacentral:rRNA from 1 species